AAAUGGAAGGUUUCGAAAGAAAUCCUCCAAUUUCCUUCCAUCGAUCCAAAUAUGUGCUCCGAAUGAGGAGCCCCAAUUGGGGCUCCCCGGGAGCCCCAAUUGAUGCCCCAUUUCCGCCCCCUACUAGACCCCCCAAGGGAUCUAGUAGAGAAAUAGAGUGGUCAGAGUGGUGAUAGGACAAGAUGAUUCCUAUGGGAGAAAUAUCUUCCUGGGACGGGAGUCCACAUUAUAAGAAUAGGGAGUGAGAUAGUAGGAAACAGAUAGGGUUAACCUGGUAGUUGAAAAGCAGGACACACAUCCAUACCUUUGGUAUCAGGGCAUGAGGACUCAUAUUCCUAAAGGAUAAUUCCCGAAAGGAAGUGAUUUCCUUUGAUACACCAUCUCCGUGAAAAUGUAGAGGGAAAUGUCGAAGGAGGGGUGAAAUGCCAUCCAAACUUCCUGAUAACUGGUUUCCCAAUUUAAUGCGCAAAACGCGAAAGAUAUGGAUUUUGGGGAUAAGCUCAGAAUCUUCUAGAAAUCCCUUAUCAGAGUUCUCUAGAAUAAGCCUUCUGCUUGAUAUUUAAAGAAUUUUUAUGGGGAUUCUCAAAGUUGAGAAGGAGUCUUGGGAUAAGGGGAGAAUCUUCUAUUCCUUUCAAGAAUCUCACGAUAAGUAUUUCACGAAAGCUUCAUCUCAAGGAACUCGGCAACCAAGGGGUUGGCCUGUUUAGUAAAAACACCUCCUGGGGAGGAAAAUCCCAGGUAUGACCUGCCCGGUGAGCAGACGCAUAAACGGCUGCAGGAUUUCUUACUGUACGAAGGUAGCAAAAGUAAUUUGCCUUUUAAUUGAAGGAUUGUAUGAAUGGUAGGACUAGACCCCGUCUGUCUCGGGAGAAGACGAAAGAAAUUGGAUUUUGAUUAAAAAUAAUCAGAUGUCCCGGUGGGACGAGAAGACCCUGAAGAUUUCUGUCUCUCAGAACCUCAGUAAAAGAAAAGUUCUCCAACAGAGGCUUUGUGAGACUUACCUGGGAAGGGGGAAAUAAACAUUUAAUACCCUAAAGGCCAACAAGCCAAGAACCAGAUCCCUGAGAAGGAAAAAGGAAGAAAAUACCUCAGGGGUAACAGCACAAUCCUCUUCUGCUGAUCUCAAGUAGGAAGAAAGGUUGUGACCUCGAUGUUGAAUUGGGUUCCCUCUGGAGAGAAGAAGACCUACGAGUCAGUCUGUUCGACUGUUAAAAACCCACAUGAUUUGAGUUUAGACCGACGUGAGUCAGGUCAGAUUCUAUCUACCGGAACUCCUGCUUCCCCCAAGUACGAAAGGACAGGAGGGACGGGUUGAAAACUUUCUCCCA
rnacentral:rRNA from 1 species